UACGUAGGGGGCAAGCGUUGUCCGGAUUUAUUGGGCGUAAAGAGCGUGUAGGCGGUUUGGUAGGUCCGUUGUGAAAACUCGAGGCUCAACCUCGAGACGUCGGUUGAAACCGUACGGCUAGAGUCCGGAAGAGGAGAGUGGAAUUCCCGGUGUAGCGGUGAAAUGCGCAGAUAUCGGGAAGAACACCCGUGGCGAAGGCGGCUCUCUGGGACGGUACUGACGCUGAGACGCGAAAGCGUGGGGAGCGAACAGG
rnacentral:rRNA from 1 species